GGCUGAUUAGCUCCCUUGGUUGAGCGUGAUGCUGAUAACAUCAAGGUCGUGAGUUCGAUCCCCUUUCAGUCC
rnacentral:tRNA from 1 species